rnacentral:rRNA from 1 species
UACGGGGGGGGCAAGCGUUGUUCGGAAUUACUGGGCGUAAAGGGCGCGUAGGCGGGCUGUCAAGUCGGUGGUGAAAUCGUUCCGCUCAACGGGACAAUGGCCUUCGAUACUGGCGGUCUGGAGGGAGGUAGGGGCAUGCGGAACUUCCGGUGGAGCGGUGAAAUGCGUAGAUAUCGGAAGGAACACCGAUGGCGAAAGCAGCGUGCUGGACCUUUUCUGACGCUGAGGCGCGAAAGCCAGGGGAGCAAACGGG